CUACGGGGGGCUGCAGUGGGGAGUAUUGGACAAUGGGGGAAACCCUGAUGCAGCAACGCCGCGUGGAGGAUGACGCAUUUCGGUGUGUAAACUCCUUUUAUAUGUCAAGAAAAUGACGGUAGCAUAUGAAUAAGCACCGGCUAACUCCGUGCCAGCAGCCGCGGUAAUACGGAGGGUGCAAGCGUUACUCGGAAUCACUGGGCGUAAAGGACGCGUAGGCGGGUUGGAAAGUCAGGUGUGAAAUCCUACAGCUUAACUGUAGAACUGCACUUGAAACUUCUAAUCUAGAGUAUGGGAGGGGGAGAUGGAAUUAGUGGUGUAGGGGUAAAAUCCGUAGAUAUCACUAGGAAUACCUAAAGCGAAGGCGAUCUCCUGGAACAUUACUGACGCUAAGGCGUGAAAGCGUGGGGAGCAAACAGGAUUAGAUACCCCGGUAGUC
rnacentral:rRNA from 1 species